rnacentral:rRNA from 1 species
CAAUAGCGUAUAUUAUUGAUGUUGCAGUUGAAACGUUCGUAGUCGAACUUUAUCUGCUCAAGUUUCGUGGCAUCGAUGAUGUUGCGAUACUCUUAGCAGAGAUUGUGCAAGGGUAUUAGUAUGUUUCAUACAAUGCUUUUGCAUCUUACUUUGAGUGAAUCGGCGUGUUCCACGCAGGCGUGUGCCUUGAACGAUUUACCAUAGCAUAAUCAGAGUAUGAAAAUAUCUCCUUGUUGAUUCGAGGUAUUUUCGAUACUGAUAAGAACGGUUGAGGGCAUUCGUAUUCAACUGCUAGAGGUGAAAUUCUUUGAUUAGUUGAGGACGAACCAUUGCGAAAGCAUCUGCCAAGGACGUUUCUUUUGA